rnacentral:rRNA from 1 species
UACGAAGGGGGCUAGCGUUGUCCGGAAUCAUUGGGCGUAAAGCGCGCGUAGGCGGCCCGGUAAGUCCGCUGUGAAAGUCAAAGGCUCAACCUUUGAAUGUCAGCGGAUACUGCCGGGCUAGAGUCCGGAAGAGGCGAGUGGAACUCCUGGUGUAGCGGUGGAAUGCGCAGAUAUCAGGAAGAACACCAACGGCGAAGGCAGCUCGCUGGGACGGAACUGACGCUAAGGCGCGAAAGCGUGGGGAGCGAACAGG